GGACGGAGGGAGUACACUAAAAGAAUGAACAUCAGAGUCCAGUGAAGGGGCUGCACAAACCCUACUUCUUCGAUAUCAAUCCAACCAAGAAUUUCCAAACAAAUCAAACCCAAAAUCAUGAUCUCUACCGUAAAUCCUUCGACUCGUAUCAAUUUUACUCCGCUUUCUAUUGCCAAACCUCUCAUAUUGAUAAAUUCAAACACAAAACUGUCGAUACAACGUUCCCCGAUGCAAAUCGAAACUCUCAAUUCUUUUACAUGAUGUUUCUAUGGCAAUAAAGAUGAUUCAAUCCUUGGAACAUUUGCUUGAAACUCUCUUCAUUGGCAUCUGUGUUUCUAUCUUGCUUUCUGAAACUACCCAAUUGCUUUCUUUUUCUAAUAUUUUUCGCCCCUGCUUCUGGUAUUUUUUUCUUCCACUACUAUGUUUCUUCACUAAUGUUGAGUUUCAGAUCAAUGGUUUACAAGCAUAUUGUGAUUCUGUUUCCGGGAAAAUUGCAGCACUUUUGUCAUUGCUUUGUUUUCUGCUUGCCUGCUUUCCUAAACUGUUAGUUGCUGAUGUUCUUCUAUGCGGGUCUCUCAUUUUACAGGGCUUUUAGGUGAUGCAGACGGGUUUGACUCUUUAUGUUGAUGCUAGGUGUGAUUUGGAUGAUUCCAAGUUUGUAGCUGUGGCCAUUCUUGAUUUAAUGGUUUUGUUUCAUGUGUUUUUUAUGAUGAUUAUUAUGUUGGUUGUUUAUGCUGUUGUUGCCAAGACAGUUGGGGUUAGGAGUAGCAAGGAAGAAUUGAGGAUCCUAAGACCAACAGCUAAUAGACAGAGGCACAGAGUAACUGCAUUUUUAGAAACUAAGGGAUGAGUUUCGAGAUGAUGAGAUGGCAAGUGAAGUUCUUUUUUAUGAGGAUGUACCAAGCUUUUUUUGACUCUGGGAGAUAGUAAAUCUGCAAGAAAAAUGAAAAAGAUAAAAGAUAAAUAGAAGUUAUUGCUGAGUGUAUUUCGAGAUUACUUAUUCUAGUCUUCUAAUGGAUGCACAAGCAAGGCCAUUCAUAUCCAGUGCCAAGCCAUAUCCGCUAGGUUGAAGACUCAUCAUCUCAAUAAAAAGGCCUGCUUCCACAAGAAAGGGGCAUGAUACUCUGUGCAGCUGGUACUAAAGGGCAAAUUGUUUAUGAAGUAGCUUUUUACAAUUCAUUCCAAGUCUGUUAAUGUUACUUGGUCAUGGGACUGAUCAAUCAAGAAGACUAUGUAUCAAUCCACAAAGUUUGGUUAACAAUUUAUGUAUCUAGGAAUACUCUAGUUUCUUAUGUAAUAUCAUGCUUAUGUUUUCCGGAUUAUUAUUAA